UUUGAUCCUGGCUCAGAUUGAACGCUGGCGGCAUGCUUUACACAUGCAAGUCGAACGGCAGCGCGGGGCAACCUGGCGGCGAGUGGCGAACGGGUGAGUAAUAUAUCGGAACGUACCCAGGAGUGGGGGAUAACGUAGCGAAAGUUACGCUAAUACCGCAUACGAUCUACGGAUGAAAGCAGGGGAUCGCAAGACCUUGUGCUCGUGGAGCGGCCGAUAUCUGAUUAGCUAGUUGGUAGGGUAAAGGCCUACCAAGGCAACGAUCAGUAGCUGGUCUGAGAGGACGACCAGCCACACUGGAACUGAGACACGGUCCAGACUCCUACGGGAGGCAGCAGUGGGGAAUUUUGGACAAUGGGCGCAAGCCUGAUCCAGCAAUGCCGCGUGAGUGAAGAAGGCCUUCGGGUUGUAAAGCUCUUUUGUCAGGGAAGAAGCGGUUGGGGCUAAUAUCCUCGGCUAAUGACGGUACCUGAAGAAUAAGCACCGGCUAACUACGUG
rnacentral:rRNA from 1 species